GGACUACAAGGGUAUCUAAUCCGGUUUGCUCCCCACACUUUCGCGCCUCAGUGUCACGUGUUGUCCAGCGAGCUGCCUUCGCAAUGGGUGUUCCUACCAGUAUCUACGCAUUCCACCGCUACACUGGUAAUUCCACUCGCCUCUCCAACCGUCUAGCCUGCCAGUAUCCAACGCUGAUCUGGGGUUGAGCCCCAGGCUUUAACGCCAGACUUAACAGACCACCUACGCGCCCUUUACGCCCAGUGAUUCCGGAUAACGCUUGCACCCUCCGUAUUACCGCGGCGGCUGGCAC
rnacentral:misc_RNA from 1 species